rnacentral:rRNA from 1 species
CCUACGGGUGGCUGCAGUGGGGAAUAUUGGACAAUGGGGGCAACCCUGAUCCAGCCAUGCCGCGUGUGUGAAGAAGGCCCUCGGGUUGUAAAGCACUUUCAGUGAGGAAGAACGCCUGGUGGUUAAUACCCAUCAGGAAAGACAUCACUCACAGAAGAAGCACCGGCUAACUCCGUGCCAGCAGCCGCGGUAAUACGGAGGGUGCGAGCGUUAAUCGGAAUUACUGGGCGUAAAGCGCGCGUAGGUGGCUUGAUAAGCCGGUUGUGAAAGCCCCGGGCUCAACCUGGGAACGGCAUCUGGAACUGUCAAGCUAGAGUGCAGGAGAGGAAGGUAGAAUUCCCGGUGUAGCGGUGAAAUGCGUAGAGAUCGGGAGGAAUACCAGUGGCGAAGGCGGCCUUCUGGACUGACACUGACACUGAGGUGCGAAAGCGUGGGUAGCAAACAGGAUUAGAUACCCUGGUAGUC